rnacentral:rRNA from 1 species
CCUACGGGGGGCAGCAGUGGGGAAUAUUGCGCAAUGGGCGCAAGCCUGACGCAGCGACGCCGCGUGAGGGAUGAAGGUCUUCGGAUCGUAAACCUCUGUCAGUAGGGAAGAACGGUCACUGUGCUAAUCAGCAGUGAAUUGACGGUACCUGCAAAGGAAGCACCGGCUAACUCCGUGCCAGCAGCCGCGGUAAUACGGAGGGUGCGAGCGUUAAUCGGAAUAACUGGGCGUAAAGCGCUCGUAGGCGGUAUGUCAAGUGAAGGGUGAAAUCCCCGCGCUCAACGUGGGAACUGCAUUUGAAACUGGCUAGCUGGAGUGUGUGAGAGGGUAGUAGAAUUCCAGGUGUAGGAGUGAAAUGCGUAGAUAUGUGGAGGAACAUCGGAGGCGAAGGCGGCCAUCUGGCA